ACGUAAUUUUGAGAUUAUUAUAAUACGAAGUGUGUACACAUAUUCAAUAUUCAAUUUUAAAUACAAUCUUUUAAGAUGAUCUUCAGGAUUGAUAUUUCAUAUUUUUUCUGUGCAUGGGAUAGAAACUGACAAUAUGGUAAAAUCAUAGUUAUCACAUUUAAUGGCUUUUCUACAAUUUUGUCGUAAUAUCAUAAAAAAAGAAGUAUAUCACGAUUUUAAUCGAAAGACCGACUGAGCAAAAUGCAAAUAUAUAUACCUAGGAUGCAGUAUGGCUUCGGUAUUCUGGCAUGCUCCUGGAAAUAAUUUCGUUUCUGUCGCUUUAAUCUUGUUCUUGCUACAAUGCCCUCAUAUCAGUACAGAAUGCGAUCAAAAGUUUAUAAGCACGCCAGAUGGCCCACUAAAUGGAACCUUUCAUGCUCCGAUGUUAAUUAAUCCUGAAAGAGAUUCCCGGCAGUGCGUGUAUACAUUUUUCGCUGGACCGCGACAACGAGUCGAAUUGAUAUUUAAUUCAUUCGGCCUACGAGGAACACCGCCAGAUGGAGCUGCUGUUGGAGAGUUACCCGCUUGUGUUCAUGAGUAUAUGGACUUGUAUGCAGAAAUACGAUCGGAGAAUACCAGCAAAUUGGUAGAAACACCAUUCGGUGGACGGUUUUGCGGUCCAAUUCCACCUCGCAGGCGUGUUUCUCUUUAUCAAGGAAUCGCUCUUAGUUUCUACACCGAUAAGAAUAUUACGUUGCCUAGCCUGUUCAACGGCACUUACGCAUUUAUCAAUGCAUCUGAAUACGAAAUAGGGACACCAGCUCCUGGCACACCGUGUUCUUUCACGGUAGACUCGGAAUACAAACGUAAUGGUAAUAUACUAUCUCCUACGUAUCCGGGAACAUACCCUAAGGGUCUUACGUGUAGUUACCAAUUUAUCGGAAAACCAAGUCAACGAGUACGUCUUGAAUUCCGAGAUUUCGACUUAUUCUUUGGGGGCCAACAUUGUCCUUUAGAUUACGUGAAAGUGUACGAUGGUUUAAACACUACAUCAGCGGUUAUAGGAACAUAUUGUGGUCAACAACGAAAUUUGGUAUUAUAUUCGUCGGAAUCUAGUUUAUAUGUGCUAUUUGUUACUCUUCAACGUACAGCAAACUCACAAAAUCGUGGAUUCAAGGGAAUCUUUGAAUUUUCCGAGAGUUUUGUUAAAUUGGACUUCAUAACCGCUUACAAGGGUGAGCACAUUCGUGGAUCGGAAUGUGAUCAAAAGAUUUUGAGUGGAAAGGAAUCCUUUGGAGACGUUGUCAGUCCGAACUAUCCAUAUCCGUAUAUACCGAAAGUCGUGUGUCGGUAUUUCAUCUAUGGAAUGCAAGAUUCACAACAUCUCGAGCGCGUUAGAUUAGAAUUCGUGGUAUUUAAGAUACCAAAGAAUAAGACAACAGGAGACUCAUCUUGUCCCGAUGGAUAUUUAAAGUUAUACUUGAAAGGACAAGAAGCGACAGAUUCUUAUGACAAAUUCGAUCACGAAUUGUGCGGUGUGGAAAUCAAUCCGCGCUAUGUAGUUAGCGAUGGCCCGAGGCUCGUGAUGGUAUUCAGUAGUGGUGAAUCUCAAGGGCAAGGUUUUAAAGCACGAUACAGCUUUGAAACGGAAUAUAAAAUACCAGGUACCGCAGCACCUGAUGGUAGCUGUACCUUCACAUACCUCAGUUCCUCUCGCAAGAAAGGAGAUUUUAAUUCUCCACGACAUCCUAGUAACUAUCCAAGCGACACAAAUUGCACGUAUUUAUUCUUAGCAACGCCGAACGAGCAAGUUACUCUAAUAUUUGAUUAUUUUAAAGUUCGAACAAAAAAUACGAAUAUAACGGUUGGACAUUAUGGAGUAGACGUUUGCCAAGAUGACUGGUUAGAGAUAUACAAUAUGUAUCGAGACAGUACAGAAAAACUGAUAGGUAGAUACUGCGGUAGUACUGCUCCAGGGCCAGUGGAAUCUAAUCUCGGCGCUCUCGGUUUAAGAGUAAUUCUGCAUUCGGACUCUGAGUUGGUUUAUAGUGGUUUCAAAGCGCGCUACACAUUUGAAGUAGCAAAACCUAUUUCUGGAGAUUGCGGAUCGAAUAUAAGCAGUGUAAAUUACGGAAUUAUUACUAGUCCGAAUUUUCCAAAUAAAUACGAUGGACCCGCAAGAAAUCUUGCUAGCAAAACUUGCAAUUGGUUUAUAAGAGUCCGACCGAAUCAGCGGAUACUACUAAAUUUUGAACUGUUUUCAGUAGAGGGUGAUCAAUCAGUACGUGGUUGUCCAGCCGCAGUGCUGCGCAUGUGGUAUUCUGCAUCAUCUACACCCAUUGAAUUGUGUGGCGUUAAAACGUCAGACGUUAAAACGUCAGACGUUAAAUGGACUUACCUUUCUGAGGAUAAUAACAUGCGACUUAGCUUCAUAUUGGCUGACAAAGCAGUUGGACAACAAGGAUUUAGGGCCACGUGGACUGAAGUAAGCACAAAUACCGACUGCCAGAAUCAAUUUUUCUGCAGUAAAAGUAAAUACUGCAUUGCAGAGUCGCUUCGGUGUAAUAACAUUUCUAAUUGUGGCCCAGCCGAUACUUCAGAUGAAGAAAACUGUGCAGCAUCAGCCCCAUUGUCACCAGCACUGGCUGGAGUCUCUGCCAUGCUUCUUCUCUCUCUGUGCUUUGUGUUCGUGGCCAUCUGAGCCCUUCAUGAAGCUUCCGACGAUCCGGCAUGUUAUGAUCUCCCCUAUCACGUGAUACAGAUGUACAGACGAAUAAUUAUGCUGUCCCCGCGGGUUAUGCCAUCGGUACUGUAUUGAUAGC
rnacentral:misc_RNA from 1 species